rnacentral:rRNA from 1 species
UACGGAGGAGGCAAGCGUUAUCCGGAAUUAUUGGGCGUAAAGCGUCCGCAGGUGGCUAUUCAAGUCUGCGGUCAAAGACUGGGGCUUAACCCUGGAAAGGCCGUGGAAACUGAAGAGCUAGAGUGCAGUAGGGGUAGAGGGAAUUCCCGGUGUAGCGGUGAAAUGCGUAGAGCUCGGGAAGAACAUCGGGUGGCGAAAGCGCUCUGCUGGACUGCAACUGACACUCAGGGACGAAAGCUAGGGGAGCGAAUGGG